CAGUAGCCGCGGGAAUACGGAGGGUGCAAGCGUUAAUCGGAAUUACUGGGCGUAAAGCGCACGCAGGCGGUCUGACAAGUCAGAUGUGAAAUCCCCGGGCUUAACCUGGGAACUGCAUUUGAAACUGUCAGGCUGGAGUCUUGUAGAGGGGGUUGUGGAAUUCCCAGUGUAGAGGUGAAAUUCGUAGAUAUGCGGAGGAACACCGAUGGCGGAGGCAGCCCCCUGGGCCAACACUGACGCUCAUGCACGAAAGCGUGGGGAGCAAACAGGAUUAGAUACCCGCGUAGUCCCGUCUCUUAUA
rnacentral:rRNA from 1 species